CUCUACUCCUAAUGUCUCAGUUGGUAGUCUCCGUUUCGGGUUUAUUUUCGUCCCACCAUUUUCGUCCGGUUUUUUUUACUGGUUUUUUUCAUCGGUUUUCUCGUCCCUUCCCCGCACGUAGCAAAAAAAUAGCCAGCGAGGCUCCCCUCGAUCUAUGUAUUCUAUCCUACAAUCUCUCAAAGACGCCCCAGCCCCCAAUACGAGCCGCCGCCGAGAUCCAAGACGAGCCACCGCCGAGAUACGAGUCGAUCCGCCGCCGCCGAGGACCAAGUGGAGCCGCCGCCGGCGCUGGCCAGGCUCCCCACGAUGUGCACGCCGGGGCGCCGCUCCCGCUCCCACAGCCGAGCAUAGCAGCAGCGGCGGAGCCCUGCCACCGGCGAGCUCUCUCUGGCGGAGGAGGGCGGGGGCGAGCUCGCCGUCUCCCUCGCGCUCAACAAUCUCUUCUCCCACGCCGUCGCCCGCUUCACGGCCUACUUCGGCCUCAUGCCGCCAUGCCUCCACUGCUCCCGCAUCGACCGGCACUUCGGCGCGGAGGACGUCCAUCAGGCGGCGGGCGAGAUCUCCGGGAUGGGCCACUGCCUCCACCAUCACCGCCUCUUCGUUGCCGCCGCCGCCGACAUGUGCGAGGGAUGCCUCUCUUCUUCAAAGAACGAGAUGAAUGAAGGAUGCAGAGGAGACAGGCUCCAUGGCGUGUUCCUGCUGUAAAGCUCUCGACCUCUCGUACAGGGCCCACCUCCGAGCUAGCCGAUGCUUAGUAUACCAGUGUUCUACUGCAUCCGGUGCGACCUCAAAGAAUACCUUCGUCUAGCUGACCGUUGAGCACCUUAGGGACGACGAGGUGCAGUGCCUGGGGUGUAAGCAGUUCAACUACACAAUGAAGUGAGUGAAGGGGUUAAGACGGUUGCGUUGUGCGUGCGCUGCUUGCUUGCUGGUGAGUGUCGCCUCUGUGACUAGGUGUUCUUUGUUGUCUAUGCCCUCUGUAGUUUAAGGUGUUUGUUCUUUUAUGCAAUGCACGCUCGCCCAAAGUAUGUAUGAUCUUUACCAUAGUACAUUAGCUAGCUAUAGGAGAUGACAUCUUUGUGCUUUUCUUCUUCCUGAACACGCAUAUGGAUGUUUGUGCAUUGGAACGGCAUGUCUUUCGGAUCAACUGUUCCCUGCUCCGACUUCGCCUUUUAAUUUGACUGAAUAUCUACUUACGCUCUCCAAUAUUGUUCCUGUGAGUUUCUUUAAAACCUAUUUGUGCACCCAGCUAGAUCAUACAGUUGUUAAUGUAUGGAGUUUUUUAUUGGGUCUGUUUAUCUCAGGGCUCUGACGCGCCGAUUUUGUUUAGACAAUUUUUAGUAUUUACUCCAGGGAAUACUCUUUAUAUUGUUCAAUCUCGGUGUAGGUCUAAUUUCUCGGAAACAGUUUCAGUCAAUGCUGGGCCGAAACCUCUUAAACUCAUUAAGUAGCGUUCUUCCUUUGUUGAAAUCUCAUUUCAUUGACGAUGUAUUGCGCUGCGUGUUGGUUAAGAUGAAGCAAGGAGAAAACCAUUGACGAUGUAUUGUGAUGCAAGUUUCAUUCAACUUGUUGGACAGUUGUACACGUAUGUGUUUUUUCAAGCCCACUGAUUUCAGCCUCUCCGUCUCCUUCAAGCCGAUGAGAAGUUCAGGGAUAUUCCUGGGAGUGCCUAUUAUGUGGCUCCGGAGGUGCUGAAGCGGAGAUAUGGAGCCGAUAAUUGCAUAUGGAGUGCUGGAGUUAUACUCUACAUUCUGCUGUCUGGCAUUCCUCCUUUUUGGGCAGCAGGGCAGAUCCUCCUGUGAAGCAUAAAUUUCAUUGUAUCCAAGGAGAUAUCUAAUGCUGAAAACAUGGGACUCAAAAUGUAUAGAGAGUCGGAGACACUGCUAAACUGUCAUUUAUGGGUGUCUACCAAAUUCACUAUCAACCACUGUUGUAGGACCGACGGAGUACCUUUGUGAAGCUGGUAUAUCUUUCUUUUACAAGAUAUGGUUGCACUUGCUUCAUCUACAUAGGCUGUCUGGAAUGCCAUGAGGCCGGGAUUGGUGUAGGAAAUCUUCAAAGCUAUUAUAUUGGUCUCAAGAAACUUGCAAUACAUCAAUGCAUUAUGAUUCUCCAUGGUCAUGCUUCUCCUGUUCACCUGGAAGUUUAUUGAUGGGAGGGAAGCCACUUCUGCUUUGAUGAUUUCUUGGAAGUUCAGCUAGGUGAAUUUACAAUACAAGUCAGAUUAUUUGCGAGAGAAUUUCAUUCCCUAGAAUCAUUGUCAUUCUUGUUGCCUACAAGGUACUUGAAGAAAAUGCCCGAGACAUAUUUUAAGGAGUAUAAUUCAGCACUAAGGCUAUUAUUACAACGAUGGAAUCUUUGUUGUGGUAGUUAUGUCUCCAAAUGCGUCGAUCCCUAUCGGCUACUGAAGUAAACUUAUUUAUUUUUUCUAUGUCGAUUUCUAUUGGCUUACUGAUAGCUUAUUUAUUCUUUUCGAAUUUUAAUUCCUUGAUCUUUGCCUCUGCCCAUCUCCAUAUCACACAGAAGGUGCUCAGUGCAAUGCAUCAUGCAGUGAUUCCAUGAUAGGAAUUAGGAACUGCUCAUCAUUUGAAUGUUUCUACAAUUUUCCUGCUUGUUAGAACAUGUUUGAUGUACUUACACAUUAACAAAAAUGACCUGUAACAUUCAUGAAAA